UUUUGCACUUCUCUCUCAUCAACACACUACUACAAACGAGAGAAACAAACCCUACCUUUCUUCUGCUCUCUCUUUUCCUUCAAACCCUACCUCCGCCGCCCCCAUUCGUCCUUCUCCUCUUGGUUGCCAAAAAUCUCGUCCUUCUUCUUUUGACAAACCCCCAUCCGCCUCGUCCCGCGAGCUCCUCAAACCAAAAGUCUGAAGAAGAUGAAAAAUCAUGUGAUGUGAAGAUGUUGUUGAUAGAGGUUGUUCCGAAGAAGAAGCACAUGAAGUUCAAACUUCAUAACCUUCAUAUUCUAAUAUAUUGUUUGUUUUUCCUCUAAUAGAUUGUUUGAUUCAUUCUAAUUUUAUUUUUUAUUUUAGGGCUUAUUUUCCUCCUCGUGGAACUAUGGGUAGAUAUAUGAACAGGUAACUUGUGUUUUUGAGGAUUAAUUUCUUGUACUACAUUAGUAACAGAUGAUAUGAAGUUUCCUAAUGUUGACAUUACUUCAUACCAUGCUUUUUUCGUUUCACAUUUGAUUAUAAGGCAAAUUAUCUGUUACAUGUAGAAAUUUCUAUUUGAAAUUCUCUCUUAUAUGUAGAAACUUUUGAUUCUCUGAUGGUAUUUGCAACUCCAAAGAUAUUUUCAGGCUGAUACUCUUCCUUGGAUUCAAAGACAGAAGGAGAAAGAAUAGAUUCUUCAGCAACACAUUUUAAGAGUGAUGAGAAUAGUGGAAGCGUUGGAGGGAAAAGGAUGUCGUAUUUCCUUAACAAAAGGGGAAGCUUAACUCGCGAAGAAAUUAUCCACAAUAACUAGACAGUUGAAAGGAUUUGGAGCACAAUUAUCUCGAAGGGAUCUGUUCGGGGAAUCCCGUGUAAAGGCUAAUAGAACUGGAUUUGGUGUGUUUUUUAAUCAAUCAUAUGUACAACAUAAUGCAUGGUCUUUAGAAGGUGAUGGUGUGUUUGUUGUUGAAUUGUAUUUGACUAAGGACGGACGGUUGUGAAUUUAUUAGUUCAUUAACUCUAAA